ACGCAUCACUUUACCGCUUGAUGCCUGCAAUUUGUCAGAGUUAUGCGAGAUGGCAAAGCAUUUGCCUUCCUUGAAUGACAUGGAGCUUCAAACGCUACAGUUGAUGGGAGAUGAUGUGUUUGUUACAGAGCUGGACUUAUCUUCACGGAUCAUUGAAAACAACUCUAGCUUUUCCAAAAUGAUCACUUUAAUGGGACAGAGAUAUCUGCUGCCACCAAAAAGCAGCUUUCUUUUGUCUGACAUUUCUUGUAUGCAGCCACUUCUUAACUGUAAGUAGUUUAUGUGUUUUAGAACAAGGUAAUUUUUCUCUUGUCUCAGAAGUUAAGAGUAUGAACUUUGAAUGUAAGUUCAGUUUUAACGCUGACUUUUGCUCUGUUGUUUAUCUUUAAGAGAGUCUUGUUAAGUAGCUCAGUCAGGCUUUGAACUUGCUGUUCAUCCCAGGCCUUGGUAUGUCAAUUUUGCCUUAGCUUUUUAGGUGCUAAGAUUACAGGUUCAGAACUCAGAGGUUCAGAGUUACAGUGUCUUUGAAUAAAUCCCAUAACUCUUUUGUGGU
rnacentral:lncRNA from 1 species